rnacentral:rRNA from 1 species
AGCAGCCGCGGUAAUUCCAGCUCCAAUAGCGUAUAUUAAAGUUGUUGCAGUUAAAAAGCUCGUAGUUGAAUUUCGGGGUCAAUACGUCGGUCGUGCCUUCGGUACGUACUGGUGUUAUUGAUCUCUCCCUUCUGAUGAAUCAUGAUGUCAUUAAUUUGGUGUCGUGGGGAGUCAGGACUGUUACUUUGAAAAAAUUAGAGUGUUUAAAGCAGGCUCACGCUUGAAUACAUUAGCAUGGAAUAAUGAAAUAGGACGUUCGAUUCUAUUUUGUUGGUUUCUAGGAUCAACGUAAUGAUUAAUAGGGAUAGUUGGGGGCAUUAGUAUUCAAUUGUCAGAGGUGAAAUUCUUGGAUUUAUUGAAGACUAGCUACUGCGAAAGCAUUUGCCAAGGAUGUUUUCAUUAAUCAAGAACGAAAGUUAGGGGAUCGAAGACGAUCAGAUACCGUCGUAG